ensembl:snoRNA Gm22871 Z6 small nucleolar RNA
UGCUGGUGGUAAAGCUGCCUCACUCUGAGUACUGGGCCUUGCCAGGGGUAAGCCAGGCAUUUUAUCUGUCCAUCCCACCCACUGCCUGAACA